GUACAAGGGCGCACCGUGUAGGUUCACAGACACCUGCGCAAGUUUUUCAAGGCUGUGACCUCCAGCAUGGGUGACUACAUCACCAUGCCAGGUGCAGAUGAAGCCAAAGAAAUUGCUGCCCGGUGGCAGAACAAGUUUGCAUUCCCACAGGUGUUUGGUGCCAUUGACGGCACACAUAUACCAAUUACAGCACCUAUGGAUGGUAGCAGAGACUUCAUAAAUAGAAAAGGAUGGGCAUCUGUCAUCCUGCAGGCAGUUUGCGAUGACAAAUAUUGUUUUCGGAGCAUUAACUGCGGAGCACCUGGUAGCUGGCACGACGCUGCCGUGCUGCGCGACUCCACGCUCUUCAGGGACUGCGGCCGCAUUCCAAAGGAACCCGUCUGCAUCGAAGACACUUCAGUCAACCUGCUGAUUGUCGGCGACCCCGCAUAUCCAUUACUGCCGUGGCUUAUGAAGGGCUACCCAUACCAUGGAAUAGCAGCCGCCAACACGGCUGAGCGGGAGUCUUUCAAUGUUUACAUGAACUCUGGACGCAUGCUGAUCGAAGGCGCAUUCGGCCGUUUGAAAGGUCGGUGGAGAAAGCUGCUUAAGCGCAACGAGCUCGAUCUAGGCCAAAUCAAAUUAUUGAUUGCCACAUGUUGUAUCCUCCAUAAUUUCUGUGAAUCUCAAGGAGAGCAGUUCUAUGACACGUGGCUUCCGGAUGCCGAGACUGCCCGGGCCUUUCCUCAGCCACCAUUGCAACCGCACAGGGGAACAACGGAUAGCACUGCAUCUCAAAUGCGAGACGCCAUUUGCUCUUACUUGGCCAAGCAUCAUCCGCUGAGAACGCAAACGCAUGCCUAGCCCGUCGUAGGAAUGCCCAUUAUGUGACUGUCCAUUUGCAUGCGUGUGGCAAUUCCUUGCGUUUGUUUGGCAGCAUUGUUGAAAUAUAUGUACCUACAUGGGAUAAUUUUCUUUUACGAACUUUGCGCACCAGCGACGAAGACAUCGUAUAGGUCUACCGACAUACUAGUCGCUUUCAAAAGUGAGGUAUCUUGUUGAACGGCAUAUAAGAUAGGGAGUUUGAGCAGGUUCUGUGUUGGUGUUCUGCGGCUCGGCGGCAGCUCAAGGACGAAUGCCCCGCAUCCCGAGCAGAUCCUAGAUAGGCCGCGAGGGCUGGGAGACAUCAAUUCUGUUCGAUCGCGUUCCAUCACUCAUCAACGAAAAGACGUGUGACUGGUAUAAUAACGUGUUUUCCUCGUAAUUGUGUACACACAUACGCGUGC
rnacentral:misc_RNA from 1 species